GACGAACGCUGGCGGCGUGCCUAAUACAUGCAAGUUGAGCGCUGAAGGUUGGUACUUGUACCAACUGGAUGAGCAGCGAACGGGUGAGUAACGCGUGGGGAAUCUGCCUUUGAGCGGGGGACAACAUUUGGAAACGAAUGCUAAUACCGCAUAAAAACUUUAAACACAAGUUUUAAGUUUGAAAGAUGCAAUUGCAUCACUCAAAGAUGAUCCCGCGUUGUAUUAGCUAGUUGGUGAGGUAAAGGCUCACCAAGGCGAUGAUACAUAGCCGACCUGAGAGGGUGAUCGGCCACAUUGGGACUGAGACACGGCCCAAACACCUACGGGAGGCAGCAGUAGGGAAUCUUCGGCAAUGGACGAAAGUCUGACCGAGCAACGCCGCGUGAGUGAAGAAGGUUUUCGGAUCGUAAAACUCUGUUGGUAGAGAAGAACGUUGGUGAGAGUGGAAAGCUCAUCAAGUGACGGUAACUACCCAGAAAGGGACGGCUAACUACGU
rnacentral:rRNA from 1 species